UACGUAGGGGGCUAGCGUUGUCCGGAAUCAUUGGGCGUAAAGCGCGUGUAGGCGGCCCGAUAAGUCCGCUGUGAAAGUCCAGGGCUCAACCCUGGGAUGCCGGUGGAUACUGUCGGGCCUGAGUCCGGAAGAGGCGAGUGGAAUUCCUGGUGUAGCGGUGAAAUGCGUAGAUAUCUGGAGGAACACCGGUGGCGAAGGCGGCAUUCUGGACCGAUAUUGACGCUGAGGAGCGAAAGCCAGGGGAGCAAACGGG
rnacentral:rRNA from 1 species